CAGUCGCCACGGGAAUACGAAGGGUGUAAGCGUUACUCGGAAUCACUGGGCGUAAAGCGUGCGUAGGUGGUGGUUUAAGUCCGUUGUGAAAGCCCUGGGCUCAACCUGGGAAUUGCAGUGGAUACUGGAUCACUAGAGUGUGUCAGAGGAUGGUGGAAUUCCCGGUGUAGCGGUGAAAUGCGUAGAGAUCGGGAGGAACAUCAGUGGCGAAGGCGGCCAUCUGGGACAACACUGACGCUGAGGCACGAAAGCGUGGGGAGCAAACAGGAUUAGAUACCCCUGUAGUCCCUGUCUCUUAUAC
rnacentral:rRNA from 1 species